rnacentral:ncRNA from 1 species
GACUGAAAAGGGCAAACCAAUCGAAAGGUUGGGACGCAAAACCACCGGUCUACGGGCGCGAGCCUACGACAGCGGGGUUGCCGGU